rnacentral:lncRNA from 1 species
AAUCAAAACCCUCAAAGAAGACUUCACCAAGGGUGCUUUCCCAAGAACAGCACUCAACAAUCCAAAGCCAAACAAAGCAAGGCUAACAACACCAACCACUACUCCCAACCUCACCUUAUAAUCUUUCACAAACGCCGCGCCGAGUAGCGGCACAAAGGCGCCGACCGCAAAAGCGAUGGCCGAAGCAAAAGCAGCAUAAUAAGGGUUAGGCAAUUUAUCUUUUUGAGAAAUGUUUCCUUGUCUUUUCAUUUGUGCAAAUUCAAUAUCAUAUUGUGAAUAGACAGACACAAAUUCACCAAUUGCCAUGCUACAUGCACCAGCUACAAGACCAGCAAUUCCAGUUAGAAUCAUUGUCUUAACAUCUUUUGUAACGGCACCAACACCCAUCAUUAGGGAUGCUGUUGAGAGUAAACCAUCAUUAGCACCUAAAACAGCUGCCCUAAGCCAUUGUGCUCUUUGUGUAUAAUCUUUUUCAUCAUUUUCUUCUUCUCCUUUUUUUUCAACAUCCAUGCUGUACACUUUUGAUUCACUACGUGCUAGUGUAGCUGCAUGGUGGUGCUGAAUUUCUGCCAUAGAUCUAAAUAUGUGAAAUGAAACUAUAUGAGUUGUGAAUAUUGGAUAUUGAAGUGUGGAAGACACACGCCUUCGGAUAAAGGUAUUUAUAGAAUUAAAUUAGUGGGUGCCACGCGUGAAAACUCAACGUAUACACUUUAAUAACUUUUUUUUUUUUUUUUGGUCUUAGAUGAAGUGGUAAUCCACUGAAAAUAAACUCACACACAACUGUGAGGUCCCGGGUUCGAACCCGGAUCACAACGUCCGGCCUUGCAAUUUCGGUAUUUGCCAGUUGAGCUAGGACUUCUAGACCACUUUAAUAACUUUUAAUUUGGAAUCUAAUGCGUUCAUACUUUGAUUUUAAUUUGGAUGGUAAUUUAUCUCUUUAUACCGACUAAUCUUUCUUUUCAAAUUGAAUACCUCAUAUGGUUCAAUAUUUUUUAAUGAUUUUUUUUUUCUUUUAUUAACUUCUUUUUUAAUAAAGCUAAAGUUAAAUAAGUGCAAAGCAUGUGAAAGGAAUAUCGCUAAAAGAGAGUUUUUAUUAUUCAUUUUCUGUCGUAUCAAUUUUUUUGCAAAGUAAAGAAUGGAUUUUAUUGAAUUGCCUAGACCCACAUGAAACAGAUGUGCAAAUAUGGAGUAAAUACAAGAAGUACACCAAUAAAAACAUAACCUAUAUANCAUAAAUAUGCAUAAGCUAUUAGCUAGCCGACAUUGAUGAAGCAAAAAUAGAUAUUGAGCAGUUUAUACUUUAUACGCACUAACCUACCUAGCUUAAAAGUUAGCAUUGUUGCUUUAAAAAAGAAAAUGUUAAAAAUUAAUGGCUUUAUUGUGAGCUCACUAAAGAACACUAAAGAAGAAUAUAGGUUCCUUGUCCACCACCGAAUAAAAUAUAUUUCCACCUCUCCUAUUAUUAGUCUCUCUCUUUUUUUCUUAAAUUGUUCCUCUUAAUUAUUAAAUGUGAUGUAUUAAUGUUAAUAUAUAUAAGUGGGUGUAUUUUAACAAAUGCCUAUAGGAUUUGCAAGUCUCUCUUUUUUUCUUCUUAAAUUAUUUCUCUUUUUUAGUUAUACACUUACUAAAAUACUCCUUCUAAAAAAUAAGUGGGUGUAUUCUAACAAAUGCCUAUAGAAUUUGCUAGAACACACCCACUUGUUUUUUUUAGAAGGUGUGUUAUAACAACAUACAUCUUAAGAUGUAUUUAUUAACUUUUUAGUUAUAACUUGCUAAAACACUUCCAUAUAAAAACUAGUUGGUGUGUUCUAUCAAAUCCCUAUACCCAUCAAUUUUGAUGAAGGUGUGUUUUAGCAUUGAACACAUCGCCAAUAUCUAUGGAUUAGAAACCCCAAUUCUGCAUAAUGUAUUUGAUUAGGGAGGAAAGAUUUUUUUUUGUUCUGAAGGGAAAGAAGAGCUAGAAUAAAAAAAUAUUAAUUAUAAAUUGUGUUUUACAUAUUUGCCCUUUAGUUUCACUUAUUUUAAUAAAGGAAAGUUGGUGUGUUUUGUCCAAAUAAAGAAGGUGUUCAAUGUUAAAACACAUCUUCACCAAAAUUGGUGGAUGUGUUGUAGCAUUGCCCAUAUAUAUAUAUAUAUAUAUGGGGAGAGAUAUUUUCACUCUAAGAGUAAGUUUGUUAUGUUACUCCACAUCUUGGCCUUUAAUUCUAAUAUGAAUUAAUGGCUAGGAUUGAUUAAUAAUAAUUGUUAUAAUGAGGUUUAAUUCUUCUCUUUACCGGAAAAAAUACAGAAACAAUGAAAACACUUAUCACGGCAAAAACUGAAGGAGGAUACAUCAAACUCCAUUGAUUGAUUACUUCCCUUUGCUACCUAUAAUUGUUUUUUUUAAUACAACUACCAUUAAUUUGACACGAUUCUUUAUCAUUUUCAUUUUCUAUGCUUCUUAUAUAUUCUUGGUAAUUCUUCAAUAGCCAAUCUGAAUUACUUGUAUUCUUCCAAUUAUCAAACCAAUUGCCAAUCUGAGUUUGAUCGUGAAAAGGGUUUUGGGUGUUUGUGCGUGAUUAGCGUUUUUUGAUGUUUUCAUAUUUUCUAGUACGGACAAGUAUUAAACUCACUAUAACAAUUAUUAUUAAUCAAUCUUAACCAUUAAUUGAUAUUAGAAUUAAAGGCCAAGAUGUGGAGUAACAUAACAAACUUACUCUUGGAGUCAAAAUAUCCCUCCCCUAUAUAUAUAUAUAUAUAUAUAUAUAUAUAAUUACUUUCACAUGAAUGGAAGGUAAACAAACAACAAGCUGCAUCUUUAGACCUUUUUGGAUUAUAAAAUCAAUUCUCAUAAACAAAAAAUUCAUAGACACAGGAAACAUGAUAUUACUAUGCAUGACCCUUUGAACUCUAUGUAGAAAGUCAAUAACCUUGGUGCUAGGAAACCAAAAGUGUAAAAAAAAAUGGCAUAAAAACACUUCUUCAAAAAAAAAAAAGUAUAAAAACAUGUUUAUUGUCAGAACAUGUUUUCUCAUGUUUGGCCAUUUUGUUUGACGCAGCUUUUAGCGUUGUCUGUCCUACUAUAAAAGUUCCGAUCCCUAAUCCAACAAGUGUUGAUUUACAAAUUUUAUUUAUUUUUUUAGGAAAAAAUUAAUUAUUUAAAACUUAGGACAAUAAUUUAUUCAGUGAAAAAAAAAAUAUGAAUCACAAUAAUUGAAGGGAAAUCUUAUAAAAUAAAUAAUUAUUUAUGUAUGAUGUAAGAUUUGUUUUAGUGCCUAACUUUGAUUGUCAAAGACAAGACCACGGUGUGUGUGCUCACAAGUUAGCCAACCUAUAUCUAACUCGUAACCGAAAAAAAGAAGUAUACCUUUUUUUCUUUUUUGAGGGGAUGAAGGAUGUCUUUUUCUCACAUUCGUUGUAAUUUUCACUUUUAUAGAAAAAAGAGAGUUGUAUACUUGUAAUAUUCCAUCGUAAUACGUAUUAUAUUUCAUGAAUAUUUUUAAUCUUUGUUUGAGAGUAUUUUUUACUUGGCUAAAAUAUGAUUUUGGUCCCUGCAAAUAUAUCUCGUUUUGGUUUUAGUCCCUGUAAUUUUUUUAGUUGUUUUUUGUCACUGCAAAUAUGUCUCAUUUUGGUUUUGGUCCCUGACUCCACUUUUGUGAUGAUUUGCACAUGUGGCACAUGAUGACUGAACCCAUUUAUUAGAAAAAUAGUCCCUGCAAAAUCUUUUGAUUUUUAAAAAGGUCUCUGCAAAAUAUUUUAAUUUUGAAAAUAGUCUCUAAAAUGACUAUUUUCAAAAACAACAUAUUUUGCAGGGACCAAAAACAACAAAAAAGAAUAUACAAAGACUAAAACCAAAACCAAAACGAGACAUAUUUACAUGGACCAAAAUCAUAUAUUUAGCCUUUUUACUUUAUAUAUUUUGAGAGGGACUUUAUGUUACACAAUAUUUGUAUUGACUAGCUAAAUAUAUAGUUCAAUAAAGUCAGCUGCAUUUACGAUUUUUUACUUGAAAUAAAUAUAUGCAUUCAUGUAUGAUGUGAAAAGAAUUACUCCCUUUGUGGCUUUGUCUCCUAUAUAAAGGUGGAAUAGAUUGUGUUUGUGCGAGUCUCCCAUGAUUUUUGCAAAGUUUAAAUUUGAUAUAUUCAAAAUAAAUAUUAAAGAUGUGUUUGUUUCAAAGUUUAAAAUCACAAUUCAGGAAUUAUUAUAUACCUUUAAAUAUUAAGCUUAAGUACAGUUUUGUCCCCUAUUUUGAUUGAAUCUGGAUUUUACCCCCCAAUUUUUAAAUUCGGAAUAUUACCCCCCCUCCCCCCCAAUUUAAUGUUUUUUUUUUUGGAAUUUUGCCUCCCCAACACAUUAAAAUGCAUUUUGGCCGAUGUGGAUGAUCAUAUGGAUUUUAAAAUAUUAACUUAUUAUCCACAUAAUUAAUUAUUAAAAUUAAAUAUUUUUUAAUUACAAAAUUAUUAUUUUUUUAAAAACGAAAAAACAUUAAAAAAAAAUACCAUAAAAUGCACAAAAAAAAACUGAAAAAUACUAGAAAAUAGAGAUAAAAUGUAGGGAAAAAACUAGAAUAAAAGAAAAAAAAAUCCAUUUAAAAAGGAAGAAAGGGUUGGAAAGGAUUUUUGUACACAAAUAUAAGGAAAAUGAUAUUUUGAAGGAAAUAUACGGAAAAUUAUUAUUAUUAUUAUUUUAAGUUACAUUUUUUAUCUUUUUUUUUUAAUUUAGAAUAUUUUAAAUAGGUGGAUAUUUUUUUAAUAUUAUUUAAGCCAUGUCAGCCAACUCCUGAAAAAAUUUAAAUUGGAGGGGUAAAAUUCCGAUUUUUAAAAUAGGGGGGCCAAAAUUCCGAAAAAUCAUUAAACUGGGGGGUAAAAUUUCGAGUUUUAAAAUAGGGGGGUGAAAUCCCGAUACAGUCAAAAUAGGGGGGGGCAAAAUUGCAUUUAAGCCUAAACAUUAUUAUCAGGAAUAUUAUUUUUAUCAAUGUAUUUGGUAGAUAAUUUCUUUAGGGUAAAUUAAAUCAGUUAUCAUCUUCGUGCAACUGUAAUGACUAUCUCGAGUUAGAAAAUACCAUAAUUGAUGGCUAAACUCUCCCUCAAGAGAUUUAAUACUAUAUUUUUUAGGAUAAAUUCAAAUCCAAGACCUCUAAAGUGGACACUUAAAAUGAAUAAAUUUUGUAUUGGAAUUAAAUUUGAAAUAUCUAUAGUUUUAAACAUCCUCUAGCCUCGUUAGAAUUGAUCUAAAUUUUGAAUCAGAUACGUCAACUAAUUUUGUUGACACAACUUUCUCUUAUGUAUUAGAACCGAAAGGAAUAUAUAGAUCAGAAAUUUAAUAGUAAAAUUAAUUAUCUUAUAAUUUAGUUAUACUAAAAAAAAGACCAAUUUUCUAACUGAACUAAGUUGGGAACAAAAUAAAAUAAUUUAGUAAAUUGGAAGACUAUUAAUUCAUGAAAUUAUACCUUUAACUAUUCAAAAUGAAAUCUUGAGACCAUAAAGGAUACAUCAAACUUUAGAUCUAAUUAACAAAAAUAAGAAAUGUUCAUAUCAUCAAACUAAACUUAUCUUAUAACAAAAGGAAGAUGUACGUGGAAUAAAAUUACAAAUUAAGUACCAUGGAAAGAAAGAUUUAAAGUUGAUCAAAAUGAUCAAACUACAACAUGGUUUACAAGCUUAGUUAAACCAAAAGUAAGAGACAUAGCAAGCCAUCCACCAAUCAAAACCCUCAAAGAAGACUUCACCAAGGGUGCUUUCCCAAGAACAGCACUCAACAAUCCAAAGCCAAACAAAGCAAGGCUAACAACACCAACCACUACUCCCAACCUCACCUUAUAAUCUUUCACAAACGCCGCG